rnacentral:rRNA from 1 species
UGGGGGAAUUUUUGGACAAUGGGCGAAAGCCUGAUCCAGCAAUGCCGCGUGUGUGAAGAAGGCCUUCGGGUUGUAAAGCACUUUUGUCCGGAAAGAAAUCCUUGGCUCUAAUACAGUCGGGGGAUGACGGUACCGGAAGAAUAAGCACCGGCUAACUACGUGCCAGCAGCCGCGGUAAUACGUAGGGUGCAAGCGUUAAUCGGAAUUACUGGGCGUAAAGCGUGCGCAGGCGGUUUGCUAAGACCGAUGUGAAAUCCCCGGGCUCAACCUGGGAACUGCAUUGGUGACUGGCAGGCUAGAGUAUGGCAGAGGGGGGUAGAAUUCCACGUGUAGCAGUGAAAUGCGUAGAGAUGUGGAGGAAUACCGAUGGCGAAGGCAGCCCCCUGGGCCAAUACUGACGCUCAUGCACGAAAGCGUGGGGGAGCAAACAGGAUUAGAUACCCUGGUAGUCCACGCCCUAAACGAUGUCAACUAGUUGUUGGGGAUUCAUUUCCUUAGUAACGUAGCUAACGCGUGAAGUUGACCGCCUGGGGAGUACGGGUCGCAAGAUUAAAACCAUCAAGGAAUUGACGGGGU